rnacentral:rRNA from 1 species
GCUGAUCCUGCUGGUGGAUACUGCUAUUAGAAUGCGACUAAGACAUGCAAGUCUGAAAGCCUCAACUAUGAGAGGUUUUGGCAGACGGCUCAGUAACGCGUGGUCAACCUACCUUCUUGAUAGGUUAAACUUUGGAAACGGAGUAUAAUGCCUAAUAGAAAAACAAAUCUGUAAGGAUUGUUUUUUAAAAGGUCAUAGUUGUCAUGUUUACUAUGAUGCAAGAGGAUGGGACUGCGUCAGAUUAGGUUGUUGGUAGGGUAACUGCCUACCAAGCCAGAGAUCUGUACGGGCCUUGAAAGAGGUAGCCCGGAGAAGGGAACUGAGAUAAGGUCCCUAGCCCUACGGGGUGCAGCAGUUACGAAACUUUUACAAUGCGGGAAACCGUGAUAGAGGUAUUCUGAGUGCCAGUUUUCUGGCUUUUGUGUAGUGUGAAAAACUAUGCGAAUAAGGGGGGGGCAAUAUACGUGCCAGCCGCCGCGGUAACACGUAAUCCCCGAGUGGUAUCCAGCAUUAUUUGGCUUAAAGCGUGUGUAGCAGGCUUAUUAAGUCUUUUGUGAAAGCAGUAAGCUUAACUUAUUGAAUUGCAAAAGAUACUGAUAGGCUAGGGAUAGAGAGACGUAGAGGGUAUUUGCAGAGUAGGAGUAGAAUCUUAAGAUACUGCAAAGACCACCUGUGGCGAAGGCGCUCUACGAGAACUAAUCCGACUGUGAGACACGAAAGCUGGGGGCGCAACCCGGAUUAGAUACCCGGUUAGUCCCAGCCGUAAACGAUGCGGAUUAGGUGUUGGGUUAAUCACGAGUUAACUCAGGGCCGAAGGGAAACCAUUAAAUCCGCCGCCUGGGAAGUACAGUCGCAAGACCGAAACUUAAUGGAAUUGGCGGGGGUGCACUACAAGGGGUGGAGGCUGCGGUUUAAUUGGAUGAAACGCCAGAUAUCUUACCAGGGCUGACAGCAAUUUGACGGUCAGAUUAAAGGUCUUACCUGAUGCGCUGAGAGCUCCUGUAUGGCCAUCGCCAGCUCGUACUGUGAAGCGUCCUGUUAACUCAGGUAACGGGCGAGACCCAUGCCAUUAGUUGCUAUUUUUCUUGCUUGCAAGAAAGAGCACUCUAGUGGGACUGCAUUGGCAACAAUGAGGAAGGAGUGGGCGAAGGUAGGUCUGUAUAGGGCGAAUGUUCUGGGCAACACGCGGCCUACAAUGAUUAGGACAAUGAGUAUCUAACCCGAAAGGGGGUGGUAAUCUCAGAAACCUAUAAUCCGAGUUCGGAUUGAGGGUUGCAACUCACCCUCAUGAAGCUGGAAUCCCCAGUAAUCGCGUGUCACUAUCGCGCGGUGAAUAUGUCCCUGCGCCUUGCACACACCGCCCAUCAAGCCAGUUGAGUAGAGUGUGGAUGAACUUUGCUCUUUAAUUAGGGUGAAUUGAUUCUAUAUUUUGCGAGACGGACUAAGUUGUAACAAGGU